CCUCAGGUAAUCUGCCCAACCAGGCCUCCCAAAGUGCUGGGAUUACAGGUGUGAGCCAUUGUGCCUGGCCCCUGUAUUUUUUAAAAACUUUCCAGGAAUAUUCAAUUACUGUGACAUUAUCUGCGUGUGGUUUUUAAUUACAAUUUUCUAAUGAAUAGUUUAUUUUGAGGACCUUAUCUUUUAUCUGUUGUUCAAUUUUAUGUCUGCAGAAUUGUCUGUUCAGGUUCUAUAUUGGAUUCUUUUGCUACUUUGUAGUGGUUUUUUGUGUACAAGUUAGAUGACAACUCAUGAAUUACAUGAUUGCCUGAAAGUUUUGCCUAAUCUAUCGGAUUUUUUUUUUAAUUGGAAAGUAGUUUUCUUUCCUGUGCAAAAACUUUUCAGGUUUGUGUAGUCCCACUUGGCAGUGUAAUUUGGUAUUGAGGAUUGUGGGUCCUCACUUUGAUUGUAUUUCUCAGGAUUCCUUUAGACAUUCAUUGCUUUUGUGGUUCCCUGUGAUUUUUAGCAAUACAUAUUUGUUUCUGUUAACUUUUUUUCACAACAUAAAGGUCCAUAAUUAGGGGUACAUUUUCACACGUAUAGAUAGAUUAAUGACCAAAUCAGGGUACUUAGGAUCUCUAUUCCCUCAUUCGGGUAUCAUUUUUGUGUGGAGAGAACAUUCAAAAGUCACCCUUCUUGGUUUUCGGAAAAAUAUAGUAUUGUUAACUCCAGUCACCAGGCUGAGGAGAACACUCAGAUUUAGUCCUUUAAUGUUAAGAUAAUUUUGUUUCCAUAACCUAUCCCUAUUCCCCCUCCAUCUCCCAGACUCUCGUUACCAAUAUUUUGCUUUCUACUUAAACGUCUUAAGAUUUCACAGGAGUGGUAUCAUGAAGUGUGUGUCUUCCUGGGCCUAGUUCAUUACAUUUAACAUAAUGUUUUGCAGGUUCAUCUGGGUUGCUCUAAAUGAUGCUGUUUCAUUAUUUUGUUGGCCGAAGAAUACUCCUGAUGUAUACGAGAGUUUCUUGGUCUCUAUAUCUGGAUGAACAGGUUUCUACAUGUGGCUGCAGAUGGCAGGAUUUCCCAAAGAUUUAUGGCUGAAACAUACUCCGUGGUGUAUCUGUAUGGCAGUUUCUUCAUCCCCGCAUCUGUGUGGACAGGUCAUAUACCAUGAUGUCCUCCAGGUUUAACAGUAUGGCUCCAAAUGAUGAAAUUUCAUUCUGUUUUUCUGGCUGAAGACUAUUUUAUUUGUGUACAUCUACCACAGUUACUUUAUCCCUUCAUCUGUGGAUGGGCAGGUUUUUCUACGUGGCUGCAAAUGACUAGAUUUCACGCAUUUCUGUAGUUGAAGACUAUUCCAUUCUGGAUGUAUGUUGCAGUUUCCUUAUUCCUUAAUCAAUGGAUGAACAGGUAGGUGUCUUUCCUAUCUUGGCUUUUGUGAGUACUGCAGUACACAGGGUAAGGCAGGUAUCUCUUCCACAUAGGAAUUUCCUUGGCUGCAAAUGUGCAGCCAGUGGUGGGAUGGCUAGAUGAAAUGGUAUUUUUACUUUGUUUGAGAAAUUUCUAGUUGUUUUUCCUAGUGUGUGUACAAAUUGACAUUCCCACCUAUAGGGUAUGAGAAGAUUUUCCACUUCUGCAAGUCUAUACCAGCUGUUUUCAUUUCAAACUCUUAUUUUUGUUUUAGGUAACAUUCAUUCUAUGUGGUUGGAGGUUGUAUCUCAGUGUGGUUUUUCUUGACUUUCUCGUGAGGAUUAGGGCUUUUAAGAAACUUUUCUUUUACCUGUGCAUUAAUUUCACAUCUGCUUUUCAGACAUGUCUAUUCAGGUCCUUUGCCCAAACUUAGCUUGCAAUAUUUGUUUUUGUUUCUUUUUCUGUUUUUUCCCCACAUGGUAGUGUUAGUUUCUUGCACAUAUUUUAUAAUGACUCCUUUCAAAAAUAGGAUUUUCCAUAGUUUUAUUUCAGUCUGUGAGGUGCCUUGUCUUCUGGUCCAUUGUUUUAAUUUCCCUGCAUAAGAUCCAGUGUUUUCCAUAGUCCCACAUGUUUAUAUAUUAGUGGUGACUUCUGUGUGCAGUUUAAAAUAGUGAAAAAGAUUGCCAACCCAUGAUAUUGCCUGUGGUUCUUUUUCUUCAAAUAUUUUUUUCUUAUUUUUAUAUUUUACACUUUGCAUCUUGCAUGCAUAGAUUAGUCUUCUAAAGUAUACACUCGCCCUAUUUUCCUAAGGGAAGUAAGUGGUUUCAGGAUUGUGUUUAGGUCUUCAAUUUGGUUUACGUUGAUUUUUGUCCUAUUUCAUUGUUUUCGUGUAGUUACGUAAUUUGGUCAACAUCUUUUAUUGAAUAGAUUUUUCCCAUUGUGUCUUUGUGUUCUUUUGAAAAAUGUGUUCACUGUAUGUACAUUUGGGUGACAUAUGGGACUCCCUCAAUCUAUCCAUUGGGUAGCCUUUUUUAAAAUUAUACUUUCAGUUCUGGGGUAUAUGCGCAAA